UGACUGCAGAAACCAGAGAGCUUGAGGCCCAGACUGGAGACUGGUUGCCCACAGCCAGUCGACAGGAGUCGGAGGAGCUUGGAGACCCCAACGACGAAUGGACUCAAGACUCAUGAUCCGAUCAGCAGAGGUGGGAACGGAAAAUCCAACAAGACACCGGACUACCAAGCACAUUCUCGAGUCAACGGUGGGAAGGUGAAAACUGAGCUGUAGGACACCUGGGGAAAUGUUUUCAAGCGUGGAUGGAAAAUGCUAGAAAGGCACAUGGAAAACGGUAAAUGACCAAGAAGAAUCCAAGAGUACCAAAGCUGUUAGGAAUCAGAUUAAAAAUAAUAAUCUUGCAUGCUAAUUUCCUCUUGG